rnacentral:sRNA from 1 species
GCCGGGCAUAGUGGUGUAUGCCUGUAAUCUUAGCGGCUCAGAAGACUGAGGAAGGGGGAUUGUGAGUUCAAGGUCAAUCUCAACAACUUAGUGAGGCCCUAAGCAACUCAGCAAGACCCUUCUUUAA